rnacentral:lncRNA from 1 species
AUGUUACCUAUUCCUGGGGUUCAUGCUAUUGCACAGUGGGAUAGGAGGUGUCUGCAGAGCCAGAUCCUCAACCCACUGAGUCACCAGGGAACUCUGUGUACAAGGUUUUUUGGGGUUUUUUUUUGUCUUUUUCUAGGGCCGCACUUGCGGCAUAUGAAGGUUCCCAGGCUAGGAGUCUUAAUUGGAGCUGUAGCUGCCGGCCUACACUAGAGCCACAGCAACGCGGGAUCCGAGCCGCGUCUGCAACCUACACCACAACUCACGGCAACGCUGGAUCCUUAACCCACUGAGCGAGGCCAGGGAUCGAACCCACCACCUCAUGGUUCCUAGUCAGACUGGUUAACCACUGCGCCACAACGGGAACUCCCUGGUUCUUGUAAUUAUUAAUAGAGGCAAGUUGAAGGUUCUGCCUUACAUUUGUGGAUUCAUCAGUGUCUCCUUGCAGUUCCAUCUGUUUUUUCCUGGUGUACUUUGCCAUUCUAUUGCUGUGCACAUAACCCUAAAGAUAGCUGUGUCUCCUUAGAGACUUGACCCCUUUAUAAAUAUGUAAUGCCAUUCUUUAUCCCAGUGCUUUGUCUGAGAGUAAUAUCGAUGUUCCAGCUGUUUUUUAAUGAUGACGUGGGAUAUCUUUUCAUCUCUGAGUCUUAAUUUCUUUACUGUUAAUGUAAUUUUAUUAAAAACAGCAUAUAGUUGGAUGGGUGUUUGUGUUCUUUUUUCCUUAAUUUUUAAUUUUGUUUUUCUUUUUUAGGGCCUCAUCCAUGUCACAUGAAAGUUCCCAGGAUAGGAGUUCCUGUCGUGGAUCAGUGGUAACAAACCCAAAUAGUAUCCAUGAGGAGGUGGGUUUGAUCCCUGGGCUCGCUCAGGGGGUUAAAGAUCUGGCAUUGCUGUGAGCUGUAGUGUAGGUUGCCAGUGCAGCUCAAAUCCUCUGUGGCUGUGCCUGGGUGGCAUAGCCUGGCAGCUAUAGCUCCAAAUCUAGCCUGAGAGCUUCCAUAGGCUGCAGAUGUGGCCCUAAAAAGACAAAAAAAGAAAGAAAAAAAAGAAAGUUCCCAGGCUAGGGGUCACACUGGGGCUAGAGCUGGUGACCUACGCCACCACAACAGCAACACUAGAUCUGAGCCAAAUCUGCAAAUUACACAACAGCUCAUGGCAAUGUUGAUCGUUAACCCACUGAGCGAGGC